AGCUCAGUUGGUUCGA
rnacentral:miRNA from 1 species